UGCAGUCGACGGAGAUAUUUGGAAGCUUGCUUUUGGAUAUCUUAGUGGCGGACGGGCGAGUAACGCGUGAGCAACCUGGCCUUCAGUGUGGAACAACGUCUGGAAACGGGCGCUAAUACCGCAUGACGCAGUGGAAUCGCAUGGUUCUGCUGUCAAAGGAGCAAUCCGCUGAAGGAUGGGCUCGCGUCCGAUUAGCUAGAUGGUGAGGUAAGGGCUCACCAUGGCGAUGAUCGGUAGCCGAACUGAGAGGUUGAUCGGCCGCAUUGGGACUGAGACACGGCCCAGACUCCUACGGGAGGCAGCAGUGGGGGAUAUUGGUCAAUGGGGGAAACCCUGAACCAGCAAUGCCGCGUGAGGGAAGAAGGUCUUCGGAUUGUAAACCUAAGUAGUCAGGGACGAAGAAAGUGACGGUACCUGAAGAGUAAGCUCCGGCUAACUACGUGCCAGCAGCCGCGGUAAUACGUAGGGAGCGAGCGUUGUCCGGAUUUACUGGGUGUAAAGGGUGCGUAGGCGGGUCGGCAAGUCAGAUGUGAAAUACCGGGGCUUAACUCCGGGGCUGCAUUUGAAACUGUUGAUCUUGAGUGAAGUAGAGGCAGGCGGAAUUCCUAGUGUAGCGGUGAAAUGCGUAGAUAUUAGGAGGAACACCAGUGGCGAAGGCGGCCUGCUGGGCUUUAACUGACGCUG
rnacentral:rRNA from 1 species